rnacentral:misc_RNA from 1 species
GAUGAAGAACGCAGCGAAAUGCGAUAAGUAGUGUGAAUUGCAGAAUUCAGUGAAUCAUCGAAUCUUUGAACGCACAUUGCGCCCUUUGGUAUUCCAAAGGGCAUGCCUGUUCGAGCGUCAUUUGUACCCUCAAGCUUUGCUUGGUGUUGGGCGUCUUGUCUCUAGCUUUGCUGGAGACUAGCCUUAAAGUAAUUGGCAGCCGGCCUACUGGUUUCGGAGCGCAGCACAAGUCGCACUCUCUAUCAGCAAAGGUCUAGCAUCCAUUAAGCCUUUUUUUCAACUUUUGACCUCGGAUCAGGUAGGGAUACCCGCUGAACUUAAGCAUAUCAAUAAGCGGAGGA